CAUGUGCAUUUAUAUCAUAUAACACAUGUCUUAUAACUGAAAUUUUCUUGCAUAAGGUUUUAAUAUUGUUUAUCAAUUUCUGAUAAGGCUAAUAACGAUUGUUUUCGAGCAAUUUUCAUGACUAAUUGAUAAAAAGUAAUAAAGUAGAAACAAUUCGAGCAUUUAUUCGUUACGUGUUAUGACUACAUAUAUGAUUUUUGGUGCACGCUAAAUUUUCGACACGUUUUUUAUUUCGGAAUUUUUCGAAGCAAUGCUAAAAUUAAUUUUUUUGUAACGAUUGAAAACAAUAUUUGGUUACACAAUCAAAGAUUUAUUAAUUAAAAGAUAAAAGAUCAAGCUACAAAGUAAUAUUUUAUAUUAAUGAUUCUAACCUGUGAAGAUAAAGAAAAGUGUCAAAAAGAUUUCUCCUUUAGCAAAUAUAUGUCCAGUGAGAUUAAAAAAAAAAGAAAUAAUUACAACCGUCAUUUUCUGACUAAUAAUCUGUCAGUGUUGCGACCGAUUGAGCAACUGAAACAAGUGGUAUGCUUUGGAAGACGACGACGAUGUCAACAAAGCUACGAUACAUCCUUGUGUUUGUCGAACGUUACGUACUGUGGAAACAAAAUAAAGUGAAAUAGUGUUUACUAUUAUUUUAUCAAGCUAAUAUUCAUAAGUACAUCGUAUACAUAAAAAUAUAUUGUACAUUAGACUUUAUUUUUCGACGUACUUAUAUCAUUUCUUCGUUUGUUUGAUAAAAUCGACAGUGUUACACAUCUUAUAAUCUUCAAGAUUUAUCAUUCAGUUUAAUAUUCAUAUUGUAUUUUAUAUUUGCACAUUUAUCAAUGCUUCAAAAAUUCACAUUUAUAUUUGCUUAUGAAUUAAUCACAGAAUCACAAUUAAUCACAUAAUGCGACUCAUUAGUCCAGAAAAAUUAAGUGAAAUUCAAAGCAAACCAGCUAAUAUAAGAAAUAUUUGUAUAUUAGCUCAUGUAGAUCAUGGCAAAACGACUUUGGCAGAUUCCUUGGUUGCUAGCAAUGGAAUUAUUUCUAAUAAACUUGCUGGUAAAUUACGAUAUUUAGAUAGUCGUCCCGAUGAACAACUUAGAGGAAUUACAAUGAAAUCGAGCUCUAUUACUCUUUAUCAUAAAUAUAAUUGUCAAGAAUUUGCUAUCAACUUAAUUGAUUCUCCAGGGCAUGUAGAUUUUGCUUCAGAAGUCUCAACAGCUGUUAGACUUUGUGAUGGUGCCAUCAUUGUGAUUGAUGUGGUAGAAGGUGUAUGUCCACAAACACGUAGCGCAUUAUCUAUUUCUUAUACAGAAGGUUUAAAACCAAUUUUAGUACUAAAUAAAAUAGAUAGAUUGAUUACAGAAAUGAAAUUGUCUGCAUUAGAUGCUUAUGUGCAUUUAACACAAGUUUUAGAACAGGUCAAUGCUGUAAUGGGAGAAUUAUUUGCCAGUGAUGUAAUGGAACGUGAAGAAAAAGAAGAAUUGAGAAAAGAAAAAAUGGAAAACAUUUCCGAGAGGAAUCUAGCAGAUUGGCAAUCUGUACUAGAAGAUAUAGAUGAUUCCAACUUAUAUUUUUCUCCUGAACAAGGUAAUGUCUUAUUUUCCAGUGCUACAGAUGGCUGGGGAUUUGGCAUCAAAGAAUUUGCCAAUAUAUUUUCAGCCAAAUUAGGCUUUAGCGAAAAGGUUCUAUUGAAAACACUUUGGGGAGAUUAUUAUGUAAAUACUAAAACGAAAAGAAUAAUGAAAGGAGCUCAAGAGAAAGCAAAAAAACCUCUAUUUGUUCAACUUAUUUUGGAUAAUCUUUGGUCUUUAUAUGAAACAAUAACUGUUCGUAAGGAUAAAGAAAAAGUAGCUUCAAUGGCUAAAAAAAUGGAUAUUAAAUUGACAACAAGAGAUUUAAGGCAUACAGAUUGUAGGGCUCAAUUACAAGCAGUUUGUUCCCAGUGGUUACCUUUGGCUCGUGCCUGCCUCGAUGUUAUAUGUGAAAAAGUUCCAGCGCCGCAUAAUUUAACUUCAGAAAAGGUAGAACGUUUACUAAGCGGAAACUUUGAUUUCUCUACAUUACCAGAAGAAACGAGACAAUUAAAAGAGACAUUUUUAGCUUGCGAUCCUUCUCCUGAUUCACCUAUCGUUGUAUUUAUAUCGAAAAUGUUUCCAGUAGAGAAAAAAGUAUUGCCAGAAAAUAAACCGAGACCUUUAACCUCGGAAGAGUUGGCUCAACGAAGAGAAAUAGCACGAACAAAACACGCGGAAAAAAUGAUGAAACAACAAAUGGCUGAAAAUACAGAGCAAGAUAUUAAUACCAGCAAUUUAAACGGCGGUCAAUCUUCGCAAUUAGAAAAUAUGGUUUCGAAAGAAAUCGAUGAGGAAGAUGAAAAUUCCGAAACUACAUUAAUAGCGUUCGCUCGGAUUUAUUCUGGAUGUUUAAGAGAGGGAUGCAGUGUAUACGUUUUAGGUCCAAAACAUGAUCCACGUGAAAUAUUGAAACGACAAAAAGCGGGCGAAUCUGUGAUAGACGAGGAUAUCACGUUAAAAGAUUUAAAACCUGGAAAACACGUGACUAAAGUUACUAUACGAAAACUGUACCUUUUGAUGGGCAGAGAAUUAGAACCUGCCGAUAAAAUAUUUUCUGGUAACGUAUUCGGAAUUGGUGAUCUGGAGGAUCAUGUAUUAAAGACAGCGACCCUUUCCACCACCAUUGCUUGUCCAUCUUUUUCGGAACUAACUUCACUCGGUGUACCCAUAAUGCGUGUUGCACUCGAACCAAAACAUCCGAAUGAUUUGCAGCCAUUGAUCAACGGCUUGAAAUUGCUUAAUCAAGCGGAUGCCUGUGCCAUUGUUCACAUUCAAGAGAGUGGGGAAAUAGUAUUGAACACUGCUGGAGAAGUGCAUUUGGAAAGGUGUUUGGAAGAUUUGAAGUUACGAUAUGCGAAAGUUGAUGUAAACGUAUCGGAACCUAUCGUACCAUUUAGAGAAACGGUUGUGCCUCCUCCGAAAGUUGAUAUGGUAAACGAAGCGAUUGAAAAAAAACCCGAGGAUGUUAGUUUUGCUACUUGGACAGCGAAUCGACAGUGUUACUUUGAAAUCGACGCGAGACCUUUACCGGAAAAGGUAACUAAGAUUUUGGAAAAAAACGUGGAUUUAAUAAAGCUGUUCUAUCAUUAUGAUAAAUCACGUUCAGACAAAGAGGAAGAAAGUGGAAAAAUUGCAUUGGACCUCAAAAUGGAAUCAUUGUGUUCGAUGUCAGAAAAGAAACAACGGGCAUUAGAAACGUUUAAAACUGAAUUGGCGAUUGCAUUUCGAGAAGCGGGACAGAAGGAUGUGUUAGAUAAAAUAUGGUCAUUCGGGCCACGAAAUUGUGGUCUUAACAUCUUGUUAAACGAAACCGACUACAAACAGAGAAAAUUUUGGGAAGGCCAUUCAAAGUCUACGGAUUCACGUGCUCCUUAUGAAAGUGGUAUGGUCAACGGUUUUCAAUUGGCAACGCUUGCUGGGCCUCUAUGCGAAGAACCUAUGAUGGGUGUCUGUUUUGUUGUGAAGAAAUGGGAAAUUUAUCAAGAUUCUCAAAGUGAAAAUAACGGACAUCAAAAUCAAGGACAUGUGGAUGGUGGUCAUUUGAUGUCGACAUGCAAAGAAGCUUGCCGCCGUGCUUUCAAUUCAAGACAUCCUCGACUAGUUACACCUAUGUAUAGCUGCAGUGUUUUAGUCAAUUCGGACGUAUUAGGGAAAUUAUAUGCGGUAUUUGGAAAAAGACAAGGACGAGUGAUUGCCGCGGAAAGUGCCCUCGGAUUUGGUGGACAAUUUCGCGUACUUGCAACUUUACCUGUACCGGAGAGUUUUCAACUUGCCAGGGAACUGCGAACUCAGACAUCCGGGCUGGCCAGUCCUCAACUGGUUUUCAGUCAUUGGGAGGCAAGUUUUUCCAUAUAAAGGGAACACGCGGUCAAUAUCUCGAUAUUUUUCCACUUUUCAAUAUCACGAAAUAAUCGAGCAAGAUCCUUAUUGGACGCCUUCCACGGACGAGGAAUAUCUACAUUUUGGUGACAAAGCAGAUAGUGAAAAUAAAGCUAAGAAAUAUAUAGAUGCAGUCCGUCGACGCAAAGGUUUACCUGUGGAUUCUCAACUUGUUACGCAUGCGGAAAAACAACGUACUCUUUCCAAGAACAAGUAAUCCUGGAUUACUAAACACA
rnacentral:misc_RNA from 1 species